rnacentral:pre_miRNA from 1 species
UCAUCAAAGUGGCUGUCAUACGUUACCCUUAAUCUCAUUCGUAUCACAGCCUGCUUUGAUGAGA